rnacentral:misc_RNA from 1 species
GGAGGGAUCAUUAACGCUCUCUCUCAUCAAACAAACAAAAGGUUUGUGUGUGCCGUGUGUGUGUGUGUGUGUGUGGUGUACACCACCACCACCACCACACAUGCAUAUACAAGCCUGAACGCGCACAUCUCUCUCUCUCUAUCUCUCUAUAUGAGAUAGAGUAGAGUAGACAAAACGCUACUGUGUUGUGUGUGUGUGUGUGUGUGCAUAAUGUGUCUGUGUUGUCGUCUGUGUUGUUUCUGUCUGUCUGUCUGUCUUCAGACAGACAACAGAGAAACAGAGACGACGACACAGAGACACGCACACACACACGCAACACAGAGUUGAAGUACUCCCAUAUAUAAUAUAUACACAUACUAAAACAGCAGCAAUUGAAAACCAGUAGUCGUGGUAGUGGUAGUAAUAUACAACUACAACUACUACAACAACAACAACAACAAGUUAUAAUAACUAAUAACAACUCCUAACAACGGAUAUCUUGGUUCUCGCGAGGAUGAAGAACGCAGCGAAAUGCGAUACGUAGUGUGAAUCGCAGGGAUCAGUGAAUCAUCGAAUCUUUGAACGCAAGUUGCGCUCUCGUGGUUUAACCCCCCGGGAGCACGUUCGCUUGAGUGCCGCUUCCAUCCAUUAACAAGUCCUGUUAUAUAUAUAUAUAACGGGGAAACGGGCUUUACCGCGCGCGUGCACGGCAUGGCCUCAGAUUGUGUGUGUAUGUAUGUAUGUGUUUCUGUGUGCGUGUGUGACUGCGUCUGUCAGUCGCGCGCGCGCGCGCAGAGAUUCUAUAUAUACUACAUUAUGUUGUGUGGGGUGGACGUCCUCUCUCUCCUCUUGAGUAAUGUAUAUUAUCGUGUGCUGCGAGGCUCUCUGUUCAGUGUGUGUCAGUGUGUGUCAGUGUGUGUGCGUCAGUUGUGUGCGCGUGCGCUGAUUAUAUGUCAGCGUGCGCGCAUGCACAUGCGCAUGUGCGUGACCACACCAGUAUAGCGGUUUGUGCUCUGCUCUGCUCUCUCUGCUCUGGCUCUGGCUCUGCUCUCUCUUUCGGGGGGGAGGGGAGUGGGUCCGGGUGGGGGGUGUGUGUGUGUGUGCAUAAUUCAAGUUUAUGCUGUGUGUGUGUUGGCGUGCACGCGUGUGGUUUGGGGCACACGCACUCGCGCACACUCACACAUAUAUAUGAGUAGCCACGCGCAUGCAUUCCAAAGGUAAUAUACAUAAUAUACAACAGAAGAGAGAGAGAUACGGUCCACAUAUCUCACAAUGCAAUCAAUAAUCAUACCACCGGCCUCAAGUCGAGCGACAGUACCCGCCGAAUUUAAGCAUAUUAAUAAGCGGAGGAAAAGAAACCAACAGGGAUUCCCUUAGUAGCGGCGAGCGAAGCGGGAGGAGCCCAAGCUCUGAAUCUGGGCGCGCGCCAAGUCCGUGCCCCGAAUUGUGGUCUCAUGGCAAGGCAUCGCUGAGCGCGGUCGCUGGUCGGGCAAAAGUCCCUUGGAAAAGGGCGCCAGGGAGGGUGACAGCCCCGUCCAUUGGUCCGGCAUCGCGGCCGUCUCGAUUGCGCUGUUGCACUUGCCCCAGAGUCGGGUUGUUUGGGAAUGCAGCCCUAAGCGGGUGGUAAAUCCCACCCAAGGCUAAAUAUUGUCAGCGAGAGACCGAUAGCGAACAAGUACCGUGAGGGAAAGAUGAAAAGGACUUUGAAAAGAGAGUCAAAAGUGCUUGAAAUUGUUAGGAGGGAAGCGAUCGGCGCCGGCGGUUCGUUUUUGAGUCCGGGGCUGUUCAAUGGUGAUCUGCUUGUCGGGAGGGCUGCAGCGAUGGAGAGUGCUCACGUGCCUCCGUUCUGUGUUCGUCCUGGCGCACCACUAUGCAUUCAGUCCCGGCGACGAGCCAGCAUCGGCUCCAUGUUUUGUGGUGGCUGAUGGGCGUCUGGGGAUCAAAGGGCCUGGCAGGCCGGCUUCACAGCCGUGUCCCGCCGGUGCGACCCAGCGUACCUGCCACCGCAGGGGCCGAGGAACCAAUUAACCCAUGCCCGCAAGGGCGAGGCAGUGUGUCACCGUGGCGGGUAUGCGUGUGGGGAUCGGGAACCGAUGCCCGUGUGCAUGCCUGUCGCUCCGUGGCACGCGUCCAUCUCUGGUGGGUUAGUGAUGCUGGCGGAACGGCGCUGAUCGACCCGUCUUGAAACACGGACCAAGGAGUCUAACACGUGCGCGAGUGUCCGGGUGGCAAACCUGGGCGCGGAGUGAAAGCAGAGGGCGGCAUUAGCGGUCGCCUGAGGUGGGAAGGGGUGUGCGCGCAUGCGUGUGCUCCCGCACCACCGGCCGACCUGGAUUUUCUUGAAGGGUUUGAGCCAGAGCGUAUUUGUUGGGACCCGAAAGAUUGUGAACUAUGGGUGACCAGGACGAAGCCAGAGGAAACUCUGGUGGAGGUCCGAAGUGAUACUGACGUGCAAAUCGUUCAUCUGAGUUGCCUAUAGGGGCGAAAGACUAAUCGAACAAUCUAGUAGCUGGUUCCCUC